AUUGAACGCUGGCGGCAGGCUUAACACAUGCAAGUCGAGCGGGGUGAUGGUGCUUGCACUAUCACUUAGCGGCGGACGGGUGAGUAAUGCUUAGGAAUCUGCCUAUUAGUGGGGGACAACAUCUCGAAAGGGAUGCUAAUACCGCAUACGUCCUACGGGAGAAAGCAGGGGAUCACUUGUGACCUCUCGCUAUUAGAUGAGCCUAAGUCGGAUUAGCUAGUUGGUGGGGUAAAGGCCUACCAAGGCGACGAUCUGUAGCGGGUCUGAGAGGAUGAUCCGCCACACUGGGACUGAGACACGGCCAAGACUCCUACGGGAGGCAGCAGUGGGGAAUAUUGGACAAUGGGGGGAACCCUGAUCCAGCCAUGCCGCGUGUGUGAGGAAGGCCUUAUGGUUGUAAAGCACUUUAAGCGAGGAGGAGGCUCUUUUGGUUAAUACCCAAGAUGAGUGGACGUUACUCGCAGAAUAAGCACCGGCUAACUCUGUGCCAGCAGCCGCCGUAA
rnacentral:rRNA from 1 species